rnacentral:rRNA from 1 species
AUUGAACGCUGGCGGCAGGCCUAACACAUGCAAGUCGAACGGUAGCACAGAGAGCUUGCUCUCGGGUGACGAGUGGCGGUCGGGUGAGUAACGUCUGGGAAACUGCCCGAUGGAGGGGGAUAACUACUGGAAACGGUAGCUAAUACCGCAUAACGUCGCAAGACCAAAGUGGGGGACCUUCGGGCCUCACACCAUCGGAUGUGCCCAGAUGGGAUUAGCUAGUAGGUGGGGUAAUGGCUCACCUAGGCGACGAUCCCUAGCUGGUCUGAGAGGAUGACCAGCCACACUGGAACUGAGACACGGUCCAGACUCCUACGGGAGGCAGCAGUGGGGAAUAUUGCACAAUGGGCGCAAGCCUGAUGCAGCCAUGCCGCGUGUAUGAAGAAGGCCUUCGGGUUGUAAAGUACUUUCAGCGGGGAGGAAGGCGGUGAAGUUAACAGCUUCACCGAUUGACGUUACCCGCAGAAGAAGCACCGGCUAACUCCGUGCCAGCCGCCGCAGUAA